GUGGGGAAUCUUGCGCAAUGGGCGAAAGCCUGACGCAGCCAUGCCGCGUGAAUGAUGAAGGUCUUAGGAUUGUAAAAUUCUUUCACCGGGGACGAUAAUGACGGUACCCGGAGAAGAAGCCCCGGCUAACUUCGUGCCAGCAGUCGCGGUAAUACGAAGGGGGCUAGCGUUGCUCGGAAUUACUGGGCGUAAAGGGCGCGUAGGCGGACAGUUUAGUCAGAGGUGAAAGCCCAGGGCUCAACCUUGGAAUUGCCUUUGAUACUGGCUGUCUUGAGUACGGGAGAGGUGAGUGGAACUCCGAGUGUAGAGGUGAAAUUCGUAGAUAUUCGGAAGAACACCAGUGGCGAAGGCGACUCACUGGCCCGUUACUGACGCUGAGGCGCGAAAGCGUGGGGAGCAAACAGGAUUAGAUACCCGAGUAGUCC
rnacentral:rRNA from 1 species